rfam:Drosophila ficusphila unplaced genomic scaffold scf7180000454039, whole genome shotgun sequence
ACAAUUCAAGGCUGUGGCUUGGGCAAAUACCUAUUUUUUAAGGUAUUGCACAUUUCCCAGCCUGGAAAUGU